rnacentral:rRNA from 1 species
UGCUGGGGGAUUAGUGGCGAACGGGUGAGUAACACGUGAGUAACCUGCCCUUGACUCUGGGAUAAGCCUGGGAAACUGGGUCUAAUACCGGAUACGACCAUCUGACGCAUGUCAUGGUGGUGGAAAGCUUUUGUGGUUUUGGAUGGACUCGCGGCCUAUCAGCUUGUUGGUGGGGUAAUGGCCUACCAAGGCGACGACGGGUAGCCGGCCUGAGAGGGUGACCGGCCACACUGGGACUGAGACACGGCCCAGACUCCUACGGGAGGCAGCAGUGGGGAAUAUUGCACAAUGGGCGAAAGCCUGAUGCAGCGACGCCGCGUGAGGGAUGACGGCCUUCGGGUUGUAAACCUCUUUCAGUAGGGAAGAAGCGAAAGUGACGGUACCUGCAGAAGAAGCGCCGGCUAACUACGUGCCAGCAGCCGCGGUAAUACGUAGGGCGCAAGCGUUAUCCGGAAUUAUUGGGCGUAAAGAGCUCGUAGGCGGUUUGUCGCGUCUGCUGUGAAAGACCGGGGCUCAACUCCGGUUCUGCAGUGGGUACGGGCAGACUAGAGUGCAGUAGGGGAGACUGGAAUUCCUGGUGUAGCGGUGAAAUGCGCAGAUAUCAGGAGGAACACCGAUGGCGAAGGCAGGUCUCUGGGCUGUAACUGACGCUGAGGAGCGAAAGCAUGGGGAGCGAACAGGAUUAGAUACCCUGGUGAUUAGAUACCCUGGUAGUCCAUGCGGUAAAGGUUGGGCAUUAGGUGUGGGGGACAUUCCAGGUUUUCGGCGCGGUAGUUAAGGAAUUAAGUGCCCGGCUUGGGGAGUAGGGCGGAAAGGUUAAAAUUAAAAGGAAUGGAGGGGGGCCGGCAAAAGGGGGGGAGAAGGGGGAUUAAUUGGAUGAAAGGGGAAGACCUUUACCAAGGUUGGAAAUGAACGGGAAAGACUGGGAAACAGGUGCCCGGUUGGGGGUGGGUUUACAGGGGGUGAAUGGUGGUGGUAAGUUGGUGUGGUGAGAUGUGGGGUUAAGUCCGGAAAGGAGGGCAACCUUGGUUUUAGGUGGCAAGGGGGUUAUGGGGGGGAUUAAUAGGAGACUGCGGGGGUAAAUUGGGAGGAAGGUGGGGAGGAGGUAAAAUCAUAAUGCCCUUUAGGUCUGGGGUUUCAGGCAUGUUACAAGGGCGGGUACAAAGGGUGGGGAUACUGUGAGGGGGAGUUAAUCCAAAAAAGCCGUUGUAAGUUAGUAUUGGGGUCUGAAAUUAGUCGCAAGGAAGUGGGAGUAGUCGUAAAUAGGAGAUCAAGUAGUAACAAGGGAAUCAAGUCGUGGCAAGGUAACCAAGUCGUAACAAGGUAACCAAGUCGUAACAAGGUAACACAAGUGG